CGGGGGGCUCCAGCAGUGGGGAAUAUUGCACAAUGGACGAAAGUCUGAUGCAGCAACGCCGCGUGGAGGAUGACACAUUUCGGUACGUAAACUCCUUUUAUAUAGGAAGAUAAUGACGGUACUAUAUGAAUAAGCACCGGCUAACUCCGUGCCAGCAGCCGCGGUAAUACGGAGGGUGCAAGCGUUACUCGGAAUCACUGGGCGUAAAGAGCGUGUAGGCGGGUUAAUAAGUUGGAAGUGAAAUCCUAUGGCUCAACCAUAGAACUGCUUCCAAAACUGUUAACCUAGAAUAUGGGAGAGGUAGAUGGAAUUUCUGGUGUAGGGGUAAAAUCCGUAGAGAUCAGAAGGAAUUCCGAUUGCGAAGGCGAUCUACUGGAACAUUAUUGACGCUGAGACGCGAAAGCGUGGGGAGCAAACAGGAUUAGAUACCCUCGUAGUC
rnacentral:rRNA from 1 species